rnacentral:rRNA from 1 species
UUGAACGCUGGCGGCAUGCCUUACACAUGCAAGUCGAACGGUAACAGGGAGCUUGCUCCGCUGACGAGUGGCGAACGGGUGAGUAAUGUAUCGGAACGUACCAUUGAGUGGGGGAUAACGUAGCGAAAGUUACGCUAAUACCGCAUAUUCUCUCCGGAGGAAAGCAGGGGACCGCAAGGCCUUGCGCUCUUUGAGCGGCCGAUAUCAGAUUAGCUAGUUGGUGGGGUAAAAGCUCACCAAGGCGACGAUCUGUAGCGGGUCUGAGAGGAUGAUCCGCCACACUGGAACUGAGACACGGUCCAGACUCCUACGGGAGGCAGCAGUGGGGAAUUUUGGACAAUGGGGGCAACCCUGAUCCAGCCAUGCCGCGUGAGUGAAGAAGGCCUUCGGGUUGUAAAGCUCUUUUGUCAGGGAAGAAACGGCGGGUUCUAAUACAGCUCGCUAAUGACGGUACCUGAAGAAUAAGCACCGGCUAACUACGU